ACAUCAUCAGUAAAAGCAAUAGCAGUGCAGUGGUAACCAGUGUUUCCUUCCUCUUUGACAGUCCCCAUCCUCCUCAUCACUGGGGGAGAGCGGAAGUUUCCUGGCUGACGCUGGGGACGCCAACGGGGUGAUGUCGGCUGGCAGCCCGGCAGCGUGGCACGACAAGUAUCACGAGGAGAAGGUGGCUCUGCAACUCAAAGGUGCUGGGUGAGAUUUUCUCCCCUCAUCCUCAGGAUUACAGUCA
rnacentral:lncRNA from 1 species